ACUCCUACGGGAGGCAGCAGUGGGAAUAUUGCACAAUGGGGGAAAGCCCAUCGAUGCAGCCAUGCCGCGUGUGUGAAGAAGGCCUUCGGGUUGUAAAGACACUUUCAGUAGGGAGGAAGGUAGUGUAGUUAACACCUGCAUUAUUUGACGUUACCUACAGAAGAAGCACCGGCUAACUCCGUGCCAGCAGCCGCGGUAAUACGGAGGGUGCGAGCGUUAAUCGGAAUUACUGGGCGUAAAGCGCAUGCAGGCGGCCUGUUAAGUCAGAUGUGAAAGCCCGGGGCUUAACCUCGGAAUUGCAUUUGAAACUGGCAGGCUAGAGUCUUGUAGAGGGGGUG
rnacentral:rRNA from 1 species